GACGAACGCUGGCGGCGUGCUUAACACAUGCAAGUCGAACGAUGAAGCUAGAGCUUGCUCUGGUGAAUUAGUGGCGAACGGGUGAGUAACACGUGAGUAACCUGCCCCGAACUCUGGGAUAACUGCUGGAAACGGUAGCUAAUACUGGAUACGACCUACGAAGGCAUCUUCUGUAGGUGGAAAGAAUUUCGGUUCGGGAUGGACUCGCGGCCUAUCAGCUUGUUGGUGAGGUAAUGGCUCACCAAGGCGACGACGGGUAGCCGGCCCGAGAGGGUGACCGGCCACACUGGGACUGAGACACGGCCCAGACUCCUACGGGAGGCAGCAGUGGGGAAUAUUGCACAAUGGGCGCAAGCCUGAUGCAGCAACGCCGCGUGAGGGAUGACGGCCUUCGGGUUGUAAACCUCUUUUAGUAGGGAAGAAGCGAAAGUGACGGUACCUGCAGAAAAAGCACCGGCUAACUAUGUGCCAGCCGCCGCUGUAA
rnacentral:rRNA from 1 species